CAUGCGAAGAUGCCAAAUCAUCCGAGACAUGAUUGGACCGGAAAAGACUUUGAUGAUGGAUGCCAACCAGCGCUGGGAUGUGCCUGAGGCGGUGGAGUGGAUGUCCAAGCUGGCCAAGUUCAAGCCAUUGUGGAUUGAGGAGCCAACCUCCCCUGAUGACAUUCUGGGGCACGCCACCAUUUCCAAGGGUGUGUGAGUAUGUUGACCACCUGCAUGAGCAUUUCAAGUAUCCCGUGAUGAUCCAGCGGGCUUCCUACAUGCCUCCCAAGGAUCCCGGCUACUCAACAGAAAUGAAGGAGGAAUCUGUAAAGAAACACCAGUAUCCAGAUGGUGAAGUUUGGAAGAAACUCCUUCCUGCUCAAGAAAAUUAAGUGCUCAGCCCCAACAACUUUUUUCUUUCUGAAGUGAAAGGGCUUAAAAUUUCUUGGAAAUAGUUUUACAAAAAUGGAUUUAAAAAAUCCUACCGAUCAAGAUGAGUUCAGCUAGAAGUCAUACCACCCUCAGGAAUCAGCUAAGUAAUUAUUACUUGAUUCUUUUAGCAAAUCAAUGCACGUUAUCCUACUUAAUCCUUAAAUAAGUUUAGAUUUAACUAACCCAAAGUCCAGGAGGAUGUUCUUACAAAAAUAGCUAUAUCAAGGGCUGGCACCU
rnacentral:lncRNA from 1 species